rnacentral:rRNA from 1 species
GACGAACGCUGGCGGCGUGCUUAACACAUGCAAGUCGAGCGAGGCCCCUCCUUCGGGAAGGUGUCCUAGCGGCGAACGGGUGAGUAACACGUGGGCAACCUGCCCUCAGCUCUGGGAUAACCCCGGGAAACCGGGGCUAAUACCGGAUACGACCUCCACGGGCAUCUGCGGAGGUGGAAAGGUCUUCCGGCUGAGGAUGGGCCCGCGGCCUAUCAGCUAGUUGGUGGGGUGACGGCCCACCAAGGCGACGACGGGUAGCCGGCCUGAGAGGGCGACCGGCCACACUGGGACUGAGACACGGCCCAGACUCCUACGGGAGGCAGCAGUGGGGAAUAUUGCGCAAUGGGCGAAAGCCUGACGCAGCGACGCCGCGUGAGGGACGAAGGCCUUC